GUCUAGGGCCAUAGCACUCUGAAUACGCCCAAUCUUGUCUGAAGCUAAGCAGGGUCGGGUCUGUUUAGUACUUGGAUGGGAGAAUGUGGGGUCAGCUCCCCACC
rnacentral:rRNA from 1 species